rnacentral:rRNA from 1 species
CGCGAAGAACCUUACCAACUCUUGACAUCCCAUUGACCGCUUGAGAGAUCAAGUUUUCCCUUCGGGGACAAUGGUGACAGGAGGUGCAUGGUUGUCGUCAGCUCGUGUCGUGAGAUGUUGGGUUAAGUCCCGCAACGAGCGCAACCCCUAUCCUUAGUUGCCAGCAUUUAGUUGGGCACUCUAGGGAGACUGCCGGUGACAAACCGGAGGAAGGUGGGGAUGACGUCAAAUCAUCAUGCCCCUUAUGAGUUGGGCUACACACGUGCUACAAUGGACGGUACAAAGGGCAGCGAGACCGCGAGGUGGAGCCAAUCCCAUAAAGCCGUUCCCAGUUCGGAUUGCAGGCUGCAACUCGCCUGCAUGAAGUCGGAAUCGCUAGUAAUCGCAGGUCAGCAUACUGCGGUGAAUACGUUCCCGGGUCUUGUACACACCGCCCGUCACACCACGAGAGUUUGCAACACCCGAAGCCGGUGAGUAACCGACAAGGAGCCAGCCGUCGAAGUGGUAGUNUUGG